rnacentral:other from 1 species
AGAUUUCUGCGGUGUGCGUUAGUCCAAAUAAUUCAACCGACAUAGUGGACACGGGAGUUCGGGUUCAGCAGUGUAGAGCAGGCCUUCUUUGGAUGGAAGCUUCAAGCUGUUGACAGGGCACCCACCUUGUGAGAGGCGGGUGUGAAUUAAUUGGAAGGACGGCACUGUGGGAAUGCA